ACCCUGUCUUGAAAAACCAAAAAAAAAAAAAAAAAAAGGUUUUAGGCAAUGGGAAGCUGUAGGCUUUUGAGAAGUAGCCUGGUCCACAGGACACAAUCUUGCCUAUUGUCAGUCUGUCAGUCUGAUGUCCCCCAUUUUCAGGCACACCUGUUCUAGGAAACCCAUGUGCUCAUCCCUGUGAGCCCUGCUCUGAGAUGGAAUGCUAACAGGAAGUGCACGGGCUGUGGGAAACUUCAUUCAGCACAGCACCAGGAUACCCUGCAGCUAUGAUCCCCAGUUCUCUGCAGCAGCUUCUCAGGUGCUCAGGGUCUUCCAAAGACUGCAGGAAUGAGCAGAGAACAGCUGCGGUCCAGUGCUCUUGUCUAAUGAGGACAACUAACCUUCCCUUUGUCCCACAAUAUUGCCAUGGAAAGGCUCACAAAGAAAUCCCUAGGAGUUAUUUUACAGCUGGAACAUCCAAAGUGCUGGGCUGCCCUGUGAGCUCUAGGUUUCUGUAGAGAGAAGCAGAGGCAGGAGGAUCAAAGCCAACCUCAUCUAUAGCAAGACCCAGUCUUAGGAGGGAAAAAAGUGAACAUAAAACCCAAGUGGAUAGCUGGUGAGAAGGCUCCAUGGGUAUAGGCAUUCACUGUGCAAGUCUGGCAACCUGAGCACCGUCCCUGGAAUCAGAUGAAGGAAGGAAGGAAGCUGGGCAUGAUAGCACACACAUUUAAUCCCAGCACUCAGGAGGUAGACAGAUCUCUUAAGUUAGAGGCCAACCUGGUCUAUGUAGUGAGUUCCAGAACAGUCAGAGCUACAGUGUCUCAAAUAACAAAAAACCCCCGCCUGAUUGUACAGCCUGUCACUGUAGCUACCGGUGAGGCUAACACAGGAGGAUCACAGAUCAGAGGCCUGCUUGGGCACUUCACAUGAGACUGUCUUAAAAAUGAAGCUCAGUGACUGAGACUGCCUGGCAAGGUCAAGGCUCUGGUUCCAAUCCCCACACAUAUCAAGAAAGCAAGUACAAAUGACUUUCUUUUUUACUUUUCAAUAGAACACUGCUAAAACAGGUAGCUUCGUAUGCUUUCUAACUGAGUCCAGAAGUACAGAGAACAAACUUCUGUUGAAGAAACAGCACAUCAUCAAGAAAGGAGGUGACACAAUAUGGCAAGCUGGCCAAGGCUCUGGUGGCUAAAAUGAAGGUGUCUCACCAGCACCCCUGCCCCUUGUGCCAUCACCUCAUCGUUGUGUAUCUCCAAGGGCUCCUGAGGGCAUGCACCAGCGCUGCUGAGCAGCAUGGCCAGGAACUCUCUACCCUCCGCUCAGGCUCCAGAGAGCAGGAGUUUCUGGUGUGCACCACUACACCAUGCUGGGAUGUUGCUGUUAGUUCAGAAACUGCACAGUGCCUGGAAUGGAGGCCCAGGCCUGACAUAUCAGCCCUUAGGACAUUGGAGCAAGUCCACUGUGAGAUCAAGGCUACACAUGCAACCCUGCCUCAAAACAAACAAGAAAAAGGAAGAAUGAAGGGAGGAAAUAGAUGCUGCACCAGACAAGCACGCUGAGCACACUGAGUCAGACCGAGUUACCUCCCGGAGCUGGGCUGCCCUGGACACUCUCAGCCCUGCAGGCACAGCAGCGUCGCUGGCUGGCUGGACUGCUCUGUUCUCCUGGAGGCUGGCUGUGCUGAAUUCUGCCUGGCUUUCCCAAUUUCCAUUUUUAGGUUCUAGGUAUUUCUCUGGUCUCAGAAGAGCUGAGGGACUUCUAUUUUGUGGUUCAGGUGCCAGUGUUUCUUCAACUUCGACAGGCUGACCGUUCUAGAUAGGGUUGCACACCCAACAAUAAAACAAAGUGAAAACUUGAAAACU